rnacentral:rRNA from 1 species
UGGCAAGCGUUGUCCGGCUUUAUUGGGCGUAAAGCGAGUGCAGGCGGUUCCAUAAGUCUGAUGUGUAAGCCUUCUGCUCAACCGGAGCAUUUCAUCAGAAACUGUUGAACUUGAGUGCAGAAGAGGAGAGUGGAACUCCAUGUGUAGCGGUGGAAUGCGUAGAUAUAUGGAAGAACACCAGUGGCGAAGGCGGCUCUCUGGUCUGCAACUGACGCUGAGGCUCGAAAGCGUGGGUAGCAAACA